rnacentral:rRNA from 1 species
GACGAACGCUGGCGGCGUGCCUAAUACAUGCAAGUCGAGCGAAGUUUUUCUGGUGCUUGCACUAGAAAAACUUAGCGGCGAACGGGUGAGUAACACGUAAAGAACCUGCCUCAUAGACUGGGACAACUAUUGGAAACGAUAGCUAAUACCGGAUAACAGCAUUAACUGCAUGGUUGAUGUUUGAAAGUUGGUUAUGCUAACACUAUGAGAUGGCUUUGCGGUGCAUUAGCUAGUUGGUGGGGUAAAGGCCCACCAAGGCGACGAUGCAUAGCCGACCUGAGAGGGUGAUCGGCCACACUGGGACUGAGACACGGCCCAGACUCCUACGGGAGGCAGCAGUAGGGAAUCUUCCGCAAUGGGCGAAAGCCUGACGGAGCAACGCCGCGUGAGUGAAGAAGGAUUUCGGUUCGUAAAGCUCUGUUGUUAGGGAAGAAUGGAUAUGUAGUAACUAUACAUGUACGAGACGGUACCUAACCAGAAAGCCACGGCUAACUACGUGCCAGCAGCCGCGGUAAUACGUAGGUGGCAAGCGUUGUCCGGAAUUAUUGGGCGUAAAGCGCGCGCAGGUGGUUUAAUAAGUCUGAUGUGAAAGCCCACGGCUCAACCGUGGAGGGUCAUUGGAAACUGUUAAACUUGAGUGCAGGAGAGAAAAGUGGAAUUCCUAGUGUAGCGGUGAAAUGCGUAGAGAUUAGGAGGAACACCAGUGGCGAAGGCGGCUUUUUGGCCUGUAACUGACACUGAGGCGCGAAAGCGUGGGGAGCAAACAGG